CAGUUUGACUUGUGUAACUGGAAAAAUCAACACUAACCAGACAAAUGGAAUAUUUGUUUCAGUAAAUGCAAAAACAUUCAACGAUUCAGAUAACUCUUAUUUCAGCUAUAAGAACCCUACGAUAUUAGAUUUCUCACCGACGAAAAGUUUUUUAUCCGGGAACACAACUGUAACAAUUAAAGGUCCCAAUAUUGGUUUCGAAGGACGUAAUAGAUACAAUAUUUCGUUUUGUGACAUGUAUAAUUGUAUUGCAUGCAAUACAUUUCCAGAUACUUUCAGUUCAAAUUACAUCAAGUGCAAAACUGGAAAUUCAUUAGAAACUCGAAAGAUGACUCGAU